AUGAAAGCACAACAACAGCAUAUUGCAGAUUCUGUGAGACUUUUAUUUAGGAAAGAAAAUUCUUAUUCUUAUGUAAGACACAAUUCACAAGAAAAUAGGGGAAAUGAUUAUAACAUGGAAAAUCAAUCCAAACAAAAGAGUGCCAAACCAGGUACUUAUUUUGUGUGCUUCAUAUUCACGUUCCUGGUGCAGAAACACAAACUCAACUGUAGCAAAACAUGCCAUCAAAAGAAAAGAAUCACAAAUCUGAAAACUAAUACAUGUACGCAAUACAACAACCGAUCUUAUCUCAGGCUGAACGCAAGGUAUUUGUAUGUCUUCCUGUCACAAAGUCGAUAG